CUACGGGGGGCUGCAGUUAAGAAUCUUCCGCAAUGGACGAAAGUCUGACGGAGCGACGCCGCGUGGGUGAAGAAGGCCGAGAGGUUGUAAAGCCCUUUUCUGCUUGAGGAAUAAGCCUGGUAGGGAAUGACCGGGUGAUGACGGUAGGGCAGGAAUAAGCCCCGGCUAAUUACGUGCCAGCAGCCGCGGUAACACGUAUGGGGCGAGCGUUGUUCGGAAUCAUUGGGCGUAAAGGGCGUGUAGGGGGAAGGCAAGUCUGGUGUGAAAGACCGCAGCUCAACUGCGGGGACGCGCUGGAAACUGCAUAUCUUGAGUUCCGGAGGGGGAGUUGGAAUUCCUGGUGUAGGGGUGAAAUCUGUUGAUAUCAGGAAGAACAUCGGUGGCGAAGGCGAACUCCUGGACGAGAACUGACGCUGAGGCGCGAAAGCGUGGGGAGCGAACAGGAUUAGAUACCCCAGUAGUC
rnacentral:rRNA from 1 species